rnacentral:rRNA from 1 species
AUUUGUCCGCCAGAAGAUUACGGGCGAGAGCCUAAAAUUCAAAAGACUUGACGGUGUCCCACUUCUACCUAGAGGAGCCUGUUCCAUAAUCGAUACUCCCCGAUCAACCCGACCUCUCCUUGAAACCCCAUUCAGCCUAUAUACCGCCGUCCUUUCCCGCUUACCUUUUGAAAGAUUAACAGUAAGCCUAAUAGUUUCUCAACUAAAAAAUCAGGUCAAGGUGUAGCUUAUGGAGAGGAGAAAAUGGGCUACAUUUUCUACAAUAGAAAACCACGGAAAGUAUUCUGAAAUAAAAUACACAAAGGUGGAUUUAGAAGUAAG